AGAGUUUGAUCAUGGCUCAGGACGAACGCUGACGGUGUGCUUUAGGCAUGCAAGUCGAACGAGAAAGCCCUUCGGGGUGAGUAAAGUGGCGAACGGGUGAGUAACACGUGGGCAACCUGCCCCUCGCAGGGGGACAACCGGAGGAAACUCCGGCUAAUACCCCGUACGCUUGUUGGAUCGCAUGGUCCGGCAAGGAAAGGUAGCUUCGGCCAUCCGGCGAGGGAUGGGCCCGCGUUGCAUUAGCUAGUUGGUGGGGUAACGGCCUACCAAGGCGACGAUGCGUAGCUGGUCUGAGAGGAUGAUCAGCCACACUGGGACUGAGACACGGCCCAGACUCCUACGGGAGGCAGCAGCCAGGAAUCUUGGGCAAUGGGCGAAAGCCUGACCCAGCAACACCGUGUGGGCGAUGAAGGCCUUAGGGUCGUAAAGCCCUGUUGAUAGGGACGAAGGGCGAAGGGUUAAUAGCCCCUAGCUUGACGGUACCUUUCGAGGAAGCCCCGGCUAACUACGUGCCAGCAGCCGCGGUAAUACGUAGGGGGCGAGCGUUGUCCGGAAUUAUUGGGCGUAAAGAGCGUGUAGGCGGUUCGGUAAGUCUGCUGUGAAAUCCUGGGGCUCAACCCUGGGCGUGCAGCGGAUACUGCCGGGCUAGAGGGUGGUAGAGGCGAGUGGAAUUCCGAGUGUAGCGGUGGAAUGCGUAGAGAUCCGGAAGAACACCAGAGGCGAAGGCGGCCUGCUGGGCCUUGUCUGACGCUGAGGCGCGAAAGCGUGGGGAGCGAACAGGAUUAGAUACCCCGGUAGUCC
rnacentral:rRNA from 1 species